CUCUCCCUCCCGUUACCCAAGCCCGUCUGAACCCUUACCUAUUCGGACUCUCGACCCUUAAAAAAAAAUCUCUCUCUGUGAGAUCGGAGCCAGCCAUGUCCGACGAGGAGCACCACUUCGAGUCUAAGGCCGACGCCGGAGCCUCCAAGACCUCUCCUCAACAUUUCGUAGUUUGACUGAAUGGGACGAGAGCGAUUCGAUUCCCUCCAAACGUUUCCUGAAAUCGUUUUCAAUAACUCAAAUUCAAAGAUCAAAGCAGCAGCGAAGGAAUUGGGUUGCUAUCGUUCACUGUGAGCCAUGAAUGCUCGAAGAUUAGCCCGUUAUAAAUCCGAUUGAUUUCAUCUUUAAUAAUUUUCUGCUUCUAGUUCCUGAACAUUAUCAGUUAUGUAUCUGCCAGAUCUUGCUGUUACCGAAAUAGUAAUUUCAUGUUUUUGAUUUGUGCAUAAAGUAGUGAUUGUGUAGGAAGUGCUAAUUGAAUGAUGAACAAACAGAAUUCGGCUUCUUCGUCUUCCCGCAGUUAAUGAUUAAGCUUAUGUCUAAGAAUUUUGAGCUAUUAGAGAAUAGUGAGAUAUGUAUCUGCAGUUUUUGUGUGAUACUCGGUUCUCUAUUUGUUUCAAUGCGCAACGUUUGUCAUAGGGAAGGUUUAUUCUACAUAGCUCAAAUAAUUACAAUUGCAACAACAUAAAUUGUAGCAGAUAGAUUCAAAGAUGGCCCACUAGAUAAGCUUAGAGGUGAUCAUAAAUUUGUAUUAUGUCACAGGUUGAUUCUUGAGUUGAGUUUAUUUUAAAACAAUUUCGGGUGAUGAUUAGAUUUCACACAAGCUAUUAUAUGAAAGUAAAAAAUUAGGAGGGAUCAAAACUAUAUGGAAAGAAAUUAUGUGAAAAGAUCCAAGAAGAAUUAGAUAUAUCAAGAGAUACAGCAGCAUAUAACAGAAAAGAGUGGAAGAUGAUAAUAUCACUUCGAUUGACCUCAUAUGACUUGGAAAAAGGCUAGGAUACAGAAGGGAGGAUUUAUGUCAAUGCUCAAGUUGUGUCAUCUGUUCAUGUCAAUGCUCAAGUUGCAAAUCACGAAAUUGCUGGCAGUCAUCAGUUCAAAACGCUGUAUAUGGUAGGAGAUAAUCCCUUAGUUGACAUCAAGGGUGCACGACAGGCUGGCCAUCCCUGGUUUUCCAUUCUGACAAGGACUGGAGUUUUCAAGGGAAAGGAAAAUCAUGACGAGUUUCCAGCUGAUCUGGUUGUUGAUACUGUCGAAGAAGCUGUGGACUAUGUUUUGAAAAAGGAGUCGAUCUCUUAGAUUCUACACUUAUAUUUCUCCCCCUAGGUUUUGAUAUUUUUUGGCAGAUUUUUCUUUCGUUACAAUAAUAUCUCGAUCAUGAGAACAUCCAAACACUAGAAUUCUUUUGCUGCAAUUUUUUUUUAAAAUUGUGGAAGUUAGGUUCUUGAUUUGGGAUCAAUUCAUGGUCUCACUCAUGUUCAUAUAUAUUAUUGGAACCAAAUUGUAUUCCAUACAUGUUUGGAUAAAAUGAAAAUUUUGAUUUAGGUACUGCAUGCUUUAUUAUGCCUCCAAGGUUCAAACUUGUUCAUUAUUUAGUUUCCUCCAAUACUCCUUGAUCAAGGGUUACACGUCAGUUUUCUGUUCAAGUCAGAAAAAAAUGGCCUUGCACUUUCCAUUUUACUAUACAAUUGGUCAUAUACUUGAGAUUUUUAUUUUUGCCCCACACCUCGUUCAAUAUGCAAAUCAUAUAUUGAGAGCUUGUGGAAUUGAUCUGGGAUGCUUGUUAAUGAAAUGAUUUGCAUUGCCUAGUAGUGCAUGACAGCAAUUUCAACUUUAACAUUUCACAGUGCCUCAGUUUUUUACGUUUGUCACUGGCCAUGUCACUGGCCAGUGACAUUUUUUUUUUCUUUAUUGAUGUACUGAGUAGACACUAAAUAUAUACUAGGUUUGAUGCUGAAAUAUGCAUAUAGGCUGAGAUAUUCAUGUCAGUUACAUCCAAUUCAGGGCACUGGUUAAGUCACUGGCCAUGUCAUAGUCAUGAACAUGUAACUGAUCAUGUAACUGUCAAAGUCACUGACUAUUUUCUCAUUUUCACAAUUUU